UACCUCUCGGAGUAUUGGCUGCCAGACUGACCCCUUCCUAAAAGAUCUGUUGGAACCCAACUAUCCAAGGACACUACUAAGACUCAGAGGUACUAAGCAGAGACUCUAUCUCUCAGCAUCCCACUUGAAUGAGAAUGCCAACCGGCCACAGUCAAAAGUGCUCCGGGAGAUCCUGACCUUAAACUGGCCUUCCCAAAAGCGAAGAAAUGGGGAUACAGCCUCAAAUGAAGGAAGAUUGAGCUGACAUUCUGCUAUGUGUUGUCCCUGACCCAGCACCUUUUACUGAAGAGCUGCAGAAGAUCACCAUUCCAGAGGAUCUCAGCGCUGAGCCAGUCAGAGCUCAGGUUGUUGCAACUGUUAUUAUCGGACUAUUUCUACUACAGUUCAUAUCACUAAAGAACAGUAGGUUCUGUCCCAGGUUUCUGCCUGUUAAAAGGAAGUUUUUCCUCGCCACUGUCACACCAAAUGCUUGCUCUUGGGGGAAUUGUUGGGUCUCUUUAAAUAAAAUUGAAUUGAACAUUUAUAUGCUUCUGUUGGCAAUUGUUUCUCUGCUGUGGCCCUCACACGUCUUGGUGUUGUAAAACAGGAAUUCAACUUCGGGCGGCAUCCACUCACAAUGUCCACAUGUGCACCUGUAGUAACAUUAAACAUCAACUGAAGCAUGAAACAAGAAAAGUACGUCAAUUGGUUUAAUUCAAUGAAAACAAUUUGAAUGCAUUUGUAAACAAAAAAAUCACUUUAAUACUUGAUCUGGGUGUUUUCAAAUAUUUAGUACUGACUGGAGAAUGUAUAUGAACAUUAUGUUUGAACAUUACAUAUGAACGACAUUGCGAAGACCGAGGUAAGAACAUUAAUAUCUGUAGUAAUUUCCUUCAUAUUCGUAAAUUCUGGUACAUAUGAAACUACAAAUAAGGUCGUACUAUAUUGUCUACCGGCGGUCCCAGGGGACCUCCAUGCUGCUGACACCGCUGCCUUUUCCAGGCAACAGCGGUGCACACAGAGCCGGGAUAACAGGUGGGCGUGUGUCAGGUAACGCUAUGUGCCGUGCACCGGAAUAUAAACAGACCCAUCACGACAGUAUGAUAAUAACAUGAAAACACAUCAUUCACUCUAAGUGGUUUCUGUGACUUUCAAAGAUUUAAAACCCAAAAGACGCCAAAAAUACACAGCCACCAUACAACGUUAGCCUUAGCCCCAAAUAGCCACAUCACUGAAGACACACUUGUCUAACGUUAGCUGACUAUGUCUAAAGCGUUACAUACUAAAAUAAAAACACAAUCAACUUACCACUCUGAAACGUCCUGCUGACCAGAAAUGCUAAAAUAAAUGAAUUGGUCCUCUUCACUUGAAUCCUCUGAACUUGAGUAUUCAGGCUCUAACUGGUAAGGUCUUGCAGAUCCUGCAGCCAUGUUCAUAGUAGGAUUCUGAUUCCAGGCCGCAUUCUAUGUUUAUCUGUGCUUAGCCAAUCAGAGCGUUCGGCUCUUUAGUUGUAGGCUGAACAUUCCAUCCAGCAGGUAAUCCAAGCGUGUGUGGGAGGGGAGAAAAAGGGCUCUCAGAAAAGUUUGGGAAAAUCAACCCAACUCUUUUUUUGGGGUAACACUAUUAAAUUAGUGUUUAAUAGACACAUAUGAACGGUACAAAUAUAAGUUUAAGUGUCACCAUAUGGGACCUUUAAGUAAAAGUAUGUAAGUA